UACGGAGGAUCCAAGCGUUAUCCGGAUUUAUUGGGUUUAAAGGGUGCGUAGGCGGCCUAUUAAGUCAGGGUGAAAGACGGUGGCUCAACCAUCGCAGUGCCUUUGAUACUGAUAGGCUUGAAUACACUAGAGGUAGGCGGAAUGUGACAAGUAGCGGUGAAAUGCAUAGAUAUGUCACAGAACACCGAUUGCGAAGGCAGCUUACUAUGGUGUCAUUGACGCUGAGGCACGAAAGCGUGGGGAGUCAAACAGGAAUUAGAUUACCC
rnacentral:rRNA from 1 species